rnacentral:ncRNA from 2 species
UAUGGUGUAAUAGCGCUGGAGCUUGCUUAUCAUUAUUCACAUUUUAGUGGUAUCCUUUAGUAAGGGAUAUUCAAGCAAGCAGACGAGGAAGAGGUUUAUCGAAAAUUCAGCGGAUACCUCUCGGCUACUCUGCGGCCGCCAAACAGCGACAAAACUGUAGGGCAACUUACAGGACAAAACGUCUGAGGCAGAUUU